UGCGUAGGCGGAUUGGCAAGUCAGAAGUGAAAUCCAUGGGCUUAACCCAUGAACUGCUUUUGAAACUGUUAGUCUUGAGUGAAGUAGAGGUAGGCGGAAUUCCCGGUGUAGCGGUGAAAUGCGUAGAGAUCGGGAGGAACACCAGUGGCGAAGGCGGCCUACUGGGCACCAACUGACGCUGAGGCUCGAAAGUGUGGGUAGCAAACA
rnacentral:rRNA from 1 species